rnacentral:rRNA from 1 species
UGGUGGAGUGAUUUGUCUGGUUAAUUCCGUUAACGAACGAGACCUCGACCUGCUAAAUAGUGGGGUCUAGGCUUGCCUAGAUGCUUACUUCUUAGAGGGACUAUCGGUUUUAGCCGAAGGAAGUUCGAGGCAAUAACA